rnacentral:lncRNA from 1 species
UAGUAAAGAAAAAAUAAGAAUUCAUUCUAUAGGGAGCCUUCAUCAGGCCCAAUCUUCCAACCUCACUCCUUUCGAGUUUCACAGCCUUGACAUGGUCAGGGUGCGGCAAAGCUCCCUAGGGCCCCCAUUGGGUCCCUUGCCAAUACCAGCACCCAAACACUUACCAAAUAUAUUGAACAAGUGCAGUGUGGAAUUACCAGCUUUGUGUAUCAAAGUUCAGUGAGUACUCAGAGGUACCCAAAACAAUGCUUACACGAGGGGGAUAGAACCUAGUCUCUAUGAGUAGUGUGAAGUGCAGGAAGGAGAGGAAAGUUGGUAGUUCAAAGAGUUAACAAAAGAGUAAGUUGGAGAGUUGUACACAAGGGUAAUGGGUAAAGGGGACAAAUAUAUCACAUGCAAACUCACAAAACCAAAUGCUUUAAUAGACCUUGACAUAGUCGGAUUUAGACACAAAGUAAGUACCAACAGAAUUUAGUCAUAAUAGGUGAACAUUAAUCAUGAGCAUGCAAGUUCCAACAGGCAAACCAGGAAUCAAUCACAUGUUACACAACAGAAACAUAAGGAGAAAAUGAUU